CAGACACGGGUCAAGAGCGUCGGUUAACGUUCACGUCAAACGUCAGAAUUGGGGGGGGGGGGUGAUUUCGGCGACUCUGGUCGUCGGUGCCAGAUCGACUGGUUUGAAAACGAAACAAAAAAAAAAAAAACAUCCAGUGAGCAGCAGUUCUGAGGAAAGAAAUGCCUUGUUGAUGAGAGAGCUAACAGGAAGGCUAGAGUAACUCGUGAAUAACCGCGCGGAGCGGAAAAGCAUCUCCGGACUCGUACGUCAAACCUCGGACGGGAAUCCGACGCUACGGUGCGCACGAAGACUCCACGAAGAUCGGACGGUCUGCCCGGUGUAGCUUUAGGUGUUCGUAAUAAAGUGUCAGACCUGUGUGCGCGUACAGGAUUUCCACACCCGAGCUGAGUAGGCGCUUGUAAUCGCCAUCGCUUAUAAGGGGACGGUUCUGGCGGCUGGCGCGCUGGAUAGGAGGCUACUCUGAAGUGCUGCUUGAUCUGUUGACCCCGAUGACUAAAAGCCCUGGCUGAUUUCCACGACCUGGUGAUGACGAUGAGUCAUUUAUGUUACUGAGUGAAUCGGUGUUUGAUGGUUGUUUUCAUGGUGUGUAACAUCAGUGGAGAUCCGUUAGUAUGAUCACGGCCGCGUCUACUCCGCUUGCGGCGGUCAGGCAAAUGUUGGAGGCAUUCCUCGGGGUUGUGCGCAGCACGCAGGCUCAUCGCUGCCUCCAUCUUAUGCUAUACCACAGGCAUAACCAUCUACAAAGGCGUUUGUUUGUGUGCUACACAACUGGCUCGCUGGAGUAGUAGAACUGUAGCUUAGCUGUAGUUCCACCCAAAGCUAACCCGAGGGUGCAACCUUUUAAACUAAGGCUACGGGCAGGUCGUGGAUCCAGGCCGAGUCUACGGGUUUAAUAUUACACAUUUCAGCGCACGCUGACAAGCUGUUUAAGAGGCGACGUUGCCGUUUGAACGGCGAUGUAAUAUUUCAGAUUCGUUUUUAUCCUCUUAAGUAACGUUUUGUGAUUGCUUUACAACCCUUCCUGUGAUCCAAGUCAACAUGCGAGGGAUAAUCCAUGGCUAGGUGUGCGUUACACGGGUUUAAUGCACGACGUGGAAGAAAACAACCACUGAGAGAGGGUGAGAGAUGGAGAAGCAGAGAGAGAGAGAGAGAGAGAGAGAGAGAGUG
ensembl:lncRNA